rnacentral:rRNA from 1 species
AUGAACGCUGGCGGCGUGCCUCAUACAUGCAAGUCGAGCGAACAGAUGAGGAGCUUGCUCCUCUGACGUUAGCGGCGGACGGGUGAGUAACACGUGGAUAACCUACCUAUAAGACUGGGAUAACUUCGGGAAACCGGAGCUAAUACCGGAUAAUAUAUUGAACCGCAUGGUUCAAUAGUGAAAGACGGUUUUGCUGUCACUUAUAGAUGGAUCCGCGCCGCAUUAGCUAGUUGGUAAGGUAACGGCUUACCAAGGCGACGAUGCGUAGCCGACCUGAGAGGGUGAUCGGCCACACUGGAACUGAGACACGGUCCAGACUCCUACGGGAGGCAGCAGUAGGAAAUCUUCCGCAAUGGGCGAAAGCCUGACGGAGCAACGCCGCGUGAGUGAUGAAGGUCUUCGGAUCGUAAAACUCUGUUAUUAGGGAAGAACAAAUGUGUAAGUAGCUAUGCACGUCUUGACGGUACCUAAUCAGAAAGCCACGGCUAACUACGUG